CGCGUAGGCGGCUUAGCAAGUCAGGGGUGAAAUGUCUCGGCUCAACCGAGGACCUGCCUUUGAAACUGCUGAGCUUGAGGCCGUGAGAGGAGACUGGAAUUCCUAGUGUAGCGGUGAAAUGCAUAGAUAUUAGGAAGAACACCAGUGGCGAAGGCGAGUCUCUGGCACGGUUCUGACGCUGAGGUGCGAAAGCCAGGGGAGCGAACG
rnacentral:rRNA from 1 species